GACCGCUCCGGUGGCCUAGUGAUUAGAGCGUCAGCCUCGGAUGCGGGAGUUUGUGGGUUCGAAUCCCGGCUGAGUCA